rnacentral:rRNA from 1 species
GAUGAACGCUGGCGGCGUGCCUAAUACAUGCAAGUAGAACGCUGAAGCUUGGUGCUUGCACCGAGCGGAUGAGUUGCGAACGGGUGAGUAACGUGUAGGUAACCUGCCUCUUAGCGGGGGAUAACUAUUGGAAACGAUAGCUAAUACCGCAUAAAAGUCGAUAUCGCAUGAUAUUGAUUUGAAAGGUGCAAAUGCAUCACUAAGAGAUGGACCUGCGUUGUAUUAGCUAGUUGGUGAGGUAACGGCUCACCAAGGCGACGAUACAUAGCCGACCUGAGAGGGUGCUCGGCCACACUGGGACUGAGACACGGCCCAGACUCCUACGGGAGGCAGCAGUAGGGAAUCUUCGGCAAUGGGGGCAACCCUGACCGAGCAACGCCGCGUGAGUGAAGAAGGUUUUCGGAUCGUAAAGCUCUGUUGUAAGAGAAGAACGAGUGUGAGAGUGGAAAGUUCACACUGUGACGGUAACUUACCAGAAAGGGACGGCUAACUACGUG